rnacentral:rRNA from 1 species
UGGGGAAUAUUGCACAAUGGGGGAAACCCUGAUGCAGCCAUGCCGCGUGUAUGAAGAAGGCCUUAGGGUUGUAAAGUACUUUCGGUGAUAGGAAGGUACUUGGUCUAAUAGGCCAAGUAAUUGACGUUAAUUACAGAAGAAGCACCGGCUAACUCCGUGCCAGCAGCCGCGGUAAUACGGAGGGUGCGAGCGUUAAUCGGAAUGACUGGGCGUAAAGGGCAUGUAGGCGGAUGAUUAAGUUAGGUGUGAAAAUCCCCCGAGCUCAACUUGGGAAUUGCAUUUAAAACUGGUCGUCUAGAGUAUUGUAGAGGAAGGUAGAAUUCCACUGUAGCGGUGAAAUGCGUUAGAGAUGUGGAGGAAUACCGGUGGCGAAGGCGGCCUUCUGGACAGAUACUGACGCUGAGAUGCGAAAGCGUGGGGAGCAACA